AGUGAACGCUGGCGGUAGGCCUAACACAUGCAAGUCGAACGGCAGCACAGUAAGAGCUUGCUCUUACGGGUGGCGAGUGGCGGACGGGUGAGGAAUACAUCGGAAUCUACUUUUUCGUGGGGGAUAACGUAGGGAAACUUACGCUAAUACCGCAUACGACCUACGGGUGAAAGCAGGGGAUCUUCGGACCUUGCGCGAUUGAAUGAGCCGAUGUCGGAUUAGCUAGUUGGCGGGGUAAAGGCUCACCAAGGCGACGAUCCGUAGCUGGUCUGAGAGGAUGAUCAGCCACACUGGAACUGAGACACGGUCCAGACUCCUACGGGAGGCAGCAGUGGGGAAUAUUGGACAAUGGGCGCAAGCCUGAUCCAGCCAUACCGCGUGAGUGAAGAAGGCCUUCGGGUUGUAAAGCCCUUUUGUUGGGAAAGAAAAGCAGCAGGUUAAUACCCCGCUGUUCUGACGGUACCCAAAGAAUAAGCACCGGCUAACUUCGUG
rnacentral:rRNA from 1 species